GCAGAUGUGUAGGUAAAAAUAAUAGUAAUGACAGUAAUUUAUUGCAAUUGUAUAGCACUUUUCGUGUGUGUGUGUUUGUGGGGGAAAAAGCCCUUCAACUUCAGAAGUCUGGAUGUGUGUGUUGAAAAAUAAGAAGCAAAAUGUGAGUCCAGCAUUAACUAGCAUUAACAGCACUAACCAGGGCCCCUGGGUUUUAUGACUGCUAACUAGGGCCCCUGGGUUACUGACCGCUAGCCUGGGCCCCUGUGUCACUGACCGCUAAACAGGGCCCCUAGGUUACUGACUGUAGCCAGGGCCCCUGGGAUGCUGACCGCCAACCAGGGCCCCUAGCUUGCUAGCUUUGUGUUAGUCUACAAGUUACCACAAGCCAGCUGGUAAAGACUGGUGCUGGGUUGUGACUAUAAAGACUGGUGCUGGUCGGUGACUAUAAAGACAGGUGCUGGUCGGUCAAUAUAAAGACUGGUGCUGGUGGGUGACUGUAAAGACUGGUGCUGGUCGGUCAAUAUAAAGACUGGUGCUGGUGGGUGACUGUAAAGACUGGUGCUGGUCGGUCAAUAUAAAGACUGGUGCUGGUCGGUCAAUAUAAAGACUGGUGCUGGUGGGUGACUGUAAAGACUGGUGCUGGUCGGUCAAUAUAAAGACUGGUGCUGGUCGGUCAAUAUAAAGACUGGUGCUGGUCGGUCAAUAUAAAGACUGGUGCUGGUUGGUGACUAUAAAGACUGAUGCUGG
ensembl:lncRNA